rnacentral:rRNA from 1 species
UGGGGAAUAUUGCACAAUGGGCGCAAGCCUGAUGCAGCCAUGCCGCGUGUGUGAAGAAGGCCUUCGGGUUGUAAAGCACUUUCAGCGAGGAGGAAGGGUAUUGUGUUAAUAGCACAUUGCAUUGACGUUACUCGCAGAAGAAGCACCGGCUAACUCCGUGCCAGCAGCCGCGGUAAUACGGAGGGUGCAAGCGUUAAUCGGAAUUACUGGGCGUAAAGCGCACGCAGGCGGUUUGUUAAGUCAGAUGUGAAAUCCCCGCGCUUAACGUGGGAACUGCAUUUGAAACUGGCAAGCUAGAGUCUUGUAGAGGGGGGUAGAAUUCCAGGUGUAGCGGUGAAAUGCGUAGAGAUCUGGAGGAAUACCGGUGGCGAAGGCGGCCCCCUGGACAAAGACUGACGCUCAGGUGCGAAAGCGUGGGGAGCAAACA